GGCACCGAGCUCGCUCAGACGAUUACCUGAGCCGGGCUACCCGCUCUGCUGAAGCACUGGGGCCAGGGGCACUGGUGUCACCUCGCCUUGAACGCUGCGGUUGGGCUUCCCAGCGGUCAUCUGCCCGCACCUCUGCUUGCCCUUCUCGGGACUUGCCAGGGCCCCAGGCCCCUCCCGCAUCUGGCCUGCAGGGCCUGGAUGACAUCGGGUACAUUGGGUAUCGGAGCUAUAGCCCAUCAUUCCAGCGCCGGACUGGUCUCCUGCAUGCCCUCUCCUUCCGGGACUCACCCUUCGGGGGACUUCCCACCUUCAGCUUGGCCCAGUCUCCUGCAUCAUUCCCACCAGAGGCCUCCGAACCACCUAGGGUCGCCCGGCCAGAUCCUAGCACCCGAGCCCUGGAGCCUCCCGCAGAGGAUCAUCGUGAUGAGGUGGUCCUGAGACAGAAACCUCCAACUGGUCGCAAGGUCCAGCUGACCCCAGCAAGGCAGGUGAACCUUGGAUUUGGUGACGAGUCCCUAGAACCAGAGGCCAGAGGGGAACGUCCAGGCAGGAAGGUGGCCCCUUUGGCCACUACAGAAGACUCCCUGGCUUCAAUUCCCUUCAUUGAUGAGCCCACCAGCCCCAGCAUUGACCUUCAAGCCAAGCAUGUCCCUGCCU
rnacentral:lncRNA from 1 species